AGAUAUCUACACACCAACCGCUAUUUUCCAAGCGAAUGUGUAGAGUGAAAAUUUCAAACAAUAAAUACAAUAAUCAAAUGGAACGGGAUUUAAACGUAGUGUGCAAUUUGGAAGUGAUAAGGGUGAUUUAUUUUUCAACUUGUCCAUCUCCGUAAUAUACGUUUAGUUGUGAGAUGUUCACAGUUUUCCCCAAAAAACAGGCCUUCACGUGCGAAAUCAAAGUGGGUGGGGAACGUGUAUUUCGAGUCGCUGGAACUUCAUAAUGAAGCUGCUUUUGUGCAAUAUUCAGCGACGUUACCAGCUGUGUGUUAGACGAAACGAAAAUGCUUUGGUUUUGCAUCGUGUUUUGAGACUGUCAGGGUGACAUGAUGGAUUAAUUGCUGUUUGACUGACAAUAAAUGAACAUGUUUGUGUUUGGAGAUUGCUGAGGUUAAUAUCUUCACAAUUGGGAAAUCCCAACAUAAGUUGACUGCCAGUUUGACCACUGAUCUGCAUAAUAUCAGUGGGAGAGCAUGCUGAAUCCCGCAGCUUCUGCACCAUAUGUUUCCUGGCCGAGUGGUUGAAAGUUGCGACCACACAUUCCAUGGGUGAUGAUAUCUACCAAAAUUCUUGGCGGCACAGUUCUACCCUUGUCAGUUGCACUUGUCCGUGUCUUUCUCUGCCUCUCAACCAACUCAAGAUAUCCCCCCCCCCAACUGCAUCCCGGCACAGCUUCACAUCAACCCAUCUAAUUAAUUUGUCGGAAAGGUUGACCACACAAAUUUCCUGUUUGGUUGUGGAGAUAGAAUCAUUUUUUUUGUGAAAGUUUGAUUUCAGACACUUAAAAAUUGAAAUUGUCAUGUAUUAUUAGGCAUGGCAGGCAUUAGCAAAGCAUCUCAAUCAAGUAUUAAUUAUUUUACUUUGUCAAUGUUAAUUCUUUGUGUAUGCUAUUCACCUGUUUGCCUUGCUUUUUAUAAGAAUGACACAAAAAAGGAAAGCAUUUGUAAAGUAUUAGUUCUAAUUUUUUUUAAAUAUAAUCUUAGACGAGAUGUUUAGUGAAUAUUUGUCAUAAAUUCUUCUUUAACUUGAUCAAAUCUGUCAUAUUUUAUUUAAAACGUGUUAAGUAUAUUUGUGUUACGUUUUAAAUGUUUAUCAUUACUGUUUUAAAUUGUGUUCAUCUGCAGCCAAUGAAUGGUAGGCUAGCGGUGCACAUUUGUAUUUGUUUAAUUUUUUUCCAUUGAUUAAUGCUCAUUUAAUUUAUAUUUCCCUAUAGAUAUAUACUUAAUAAAGUGUUAGUUUUGUUUAAAAAAACAACUUAUU